CAAUCGGCCCUUUUCAGGGCCACCAUUUUGUAAAGAAAGAUUAUCG
rfam:Daphnia pulex DAPPTscaffold_35_Cont2034, whole genome shotgun sequence.